rnacentral:lncRNA from 1 species
GGCCAUGAAAUCUCAAAUAGUUAAAAACUUUUCUUUUCACAUACAAUCUGUCCCAUAUACGGGCUUACGAGGCCCAAAACAUACAUCUGGAGUGGUUCGGGACCCAAUCGAGAACUCAUGAAAAACUUAAAAAAAAUCUCUUGCGUUAAGGCUUCACACGCCCAUGUGCUCAGGCCGUGUGGCCAGAAAUAGGCUAAUUAUUAAGCCUUUUAUCACUCUCACACCAUAUGCAUAGAUACAUACUUAUCCAAUAACAUACAACGUGACAUAAAUGAGCUCUUAAACAUCUACAAACAUGUUAUGCUCAAGUUAUUUUCUUAUGCAAUAAAUAUUAUAGAAUUUGCCCAUAUCAUUACCACAUACUAGACAUAACUAUCAUUACAUCACAAACCAUUCAUGAAGCAUUAUUAACUAUUUACCAAUCACUUAAUCCUGCAUUAGUUACUAGCUCAUCAAUGAAUCUCAAUUCAAUCUCUAGGCAUACAUGUUGUAAGCCACAUCACAAGAAAUAAUAACAUAAAUGCAUAAGAAUAAUCAUAUGGGUCCAUAACGAUAUUAGCCGACAUAGGCCAAUUUACAUAACUAAUACUACCUUAAUAACAAGCCAAUGCCUUUGGCUAAAUCAUAAUAUUACAUACUCACAUUAAAACCCUAUACAUGCCAUAGACUCGAAUCACUUGAGUUUACUUACUCCGAUAACGUUAACUCGAUAGGGUGAUAAUAUCUCUGACGGCCUCCAACCCGAGCUAACCUGGAAACUCUAAAAAACAUGGGAAAGAAGGGGGGUAAGCUUUCGCUUAGUAAGUUCAUAUGAAAACAAUAAGCAACUCAUUAACUUGUUUUAUCAAUGUUUACAACAUAUUCUCAAGUUCACUACAAGCUGUUUUCCUGAGCAACAGUCACUAAAUUAUUUAUAUCUGGAGCUACGAAACUCCGAAUUAAAUUCCGUUAAUUUUCCCUGAAACUAUACUUAUUUUCCUUUCUUUCAUAAAAUUUCCAGAAUUUUUGGUUAAGCCAAAUAGUACAGUUUAUUAGUUAAAGUCUCCCCUGUUUCAGGGUAUGACCACUCUGACCCCUGUGCACUACAAACCGAGUUUCUCCCUGUAAAAAAAAUUCCAACGACCAUGCUGUUUAUUUCCCAUAAAAAUAGACUCAAUAAGGAAUCCAUGCAUGUAAGGUAUAACUCUUAAUAAUUUUUGUACAAUUUUUGGUGAAUUUCUAAAGUUAGAAUAGGGGAUCUCGAAUUCAUUCAGACCCUGUUUCACAAGAAUUCAAAUAUCACACAAUAUGGAAUUCUUUUUUUCCCCUAUUUCUUUCAUGUGAAAAUAAGCUCAUUGAGCUUUAAUCCCAUAUUUUAUUCUGCCUCUAACUCAUUUUCCUCUAUUUUUAGUGUAUUCUUAAAGUUACACUACUGCAGUAACUCAAAUCUGUCAAGGCUAAAUUACUCAUUCAUGAUCAUUGUUCACAAAAUUAAUACAACAUCGUUUGUAUAAUCAUCACCGAGACAUUCAUAUCACAUUUUCAUUUACCAUCUUACCAUAUUGUUGUUAUGUCGAGUUUUUAACCCGAGGGUUAAGUACAUACCUGUUCAAAGUAUCCAUUUCACAACAUUUACCAAUACGUCCCUUUCAUCUCGAGUAUUCCUCCAUUUGAGUAGAAUUUUACCCGUUGAACACAUCGGAAUAUAAUUCGGAUACAUGGAAAGUUUGCACAUAAGUGCCACAUAUGUAGCCAAGCUACCAUGUAACCCGCCCAUAAGUGAACUCGGACUCAACUCAAUGAGCUCGGGCGUUCGCAUCCAUAAGUGAACUCGGACUCAACUCAACGAGCUCGGAUGCCUAGUUACAUCUCACGAACUCGGACUCAACUCAACGAGUUCGAACAUUCGCAUCCAUAAGUGAACUCAGACUCAACUCAACGAGUUCGGAUGCUCAACCAUCCUAGUGACAUGUCACUUGUAUCCUAAUCUAUUCCUAAGGUUCAAACGGGAUUUUCCUCGAACACAUAUCAUUGCCAUCUUCCAUAAAAUACCGAAACCAAUACUCGGUAGCACUUUAUAUUUAACAGAUAAUACACAUAACUUGCAUUUUAUUCGAAAAUAACCACAAAGCAUAUAUUUCAUGAUAAAAAUAAGCAUAUCAUAUAUUUAACAUCAAUAACUUAAAAAUAACAAUUAUGCUACAUUAUUUACACAUGAACUUACCUCGAUACCGCAAAGGUGAAAAGACAUACUCGUCCAUAAAUUGAUUUCUUUCCGUUCUAGGUCCAAAUCUCAAUUUUCAUCAUCUAUAACAUCACAUUUAGCCUACUAAUCAGUCACAAUAUUCAUAUGGGUCUAAAAAUCAUAUUUUUACAAAUUUUCAUUUUGACCCCUAAACUUUUGCAUAUUUGCACUUUUGCCCCAAUGCUCGUAAAUUAAUUUUUAUCACAUUUCUUUACUCCUUGAGUCUAGAUGAACCAUUUUCAUAACUAUAGCAACUCAUAAUUUCAACUAUUUUACACAUUUACAACUCAUUUUACAACUUAGCAAUUUAGCCCUUUUUAAGGUAUUUUCAUGCAAUUUCUUUCACAAAAGUUGUUUAUUAGAUAACUAGGACUUAUAAUCUUCCAUAAAAACACAGCAAACAACACAUAUACAUUCAUGGCAAAACCCUAGACUCUUUAUCAUCUUGCACAAAAGUCCCCUCAUAUGAAACUUAUGCUUUAGGGGUUCCAAAAAUACAAAAAUCAUCAAGCAAAGACAUUAAAAUCACUUACAAGCAAGGGAAAUAUGUUGCUGAAAUUUUCCAGCUUCAAAACCCUUUCUUUGCUGCAUAUUUCGGUGAAGGGGAAGAGAAAAAUGAUAGCUUUUUCUUUUCUUUUCUUUUUUAUUUGUUAAUAAU